AUUGAACGCUGGCGGCAGCCCUAACACAUGCAAGUCGAACGAGUGGCGGACGGGUGAGUAAUGUCUGGGAAACUGCCCGAUGGAGGGGGAUAACUACUGGAAACGGUAGCUAAUAACGCAUACCAUCGGAUGUGCCCAGAUGGGAUUAGCUAGUAGGUGGGGUAAUGGAUCAACUAGGCGACGAUCCCUAGCUGGUCUGAGAGGAUGACCAGACACACUGUUUCUCAGACACGGUCCCGACGCCUACGGGAGGCAGCAGUGGGGAAUAUUGCACAAUGGGCUCAAGCCUGAUGCAGCCAUGCCGCGUGUAUGAAGAAGGCCUUCGGGUUGUAAAGUGCUUUCAGCGAGGAGGCGUUACUCGCAGAAGAAGCACCGGCUAACUCCGUGCCAGCAGCCGCGGUAAUAC
rnacentral:rRNA from 1 species